CGUAGGGUGCGAGCGUUAAUCGGAAUUACUGGGCGUAAAGCGUGCGCAGGCGGUUUGUUAAGAUAGGCGUGAAAUCCCCGGGCUCAACCAGGGAACUGCGCUUAUGACUGGCAAGCUAGAGUACGGCAGAGGGGGUGGAAUUCCACGUGUAGCAGUGAAAUGCGUAGAGAUGUGGAGGAACACCAAUGGCGAAGGCAGCCCCCUGGGUCGAUACUGACGCUCAUGCACGAAAGCGUGGGUAGCAAACAGGAUUAGAUACCCUGGUAGUCCACGCCCUAAACGAUGUCAACUAGGUGUUGGGAGGGUAAAACCUUUUAGUACCGGAGCUAACGCGUGAAGUUGACCGCCUGGGGAGUACGGCCGCAAGGUUA
rnacentral:rRNA from 1 species